AAUGAUUCACGUCGUGCCGCGACGUUAAAUCAAGCGCUUGUUGGGAGGCAACUCAGCUUUAUUGCUUUCUUUUAUUUAUUUAUUUUUUAAUUGUAUUAUUUUUCAGUGUCAGUUUUUUAUCGUCUUGGAGCAUGGAAAGAAAAUGUAUUGGAAAGAUCCAAUAGCAAACCAAAUGGUUGGAACUAAGUGUGAGGUACCCGCAUGAAGGAUCAAACUUGGGAGAAGUCUGAGUACCCCAUAAGUUGUUAGUGCUUUG
rnacentral:lncRNA from 1 species